AGUGGCGGACGGGUGAGUAACGCGUGAGAAUCUGCCUUGGGGUCGGGGACAACCACUGGAAACGGUGGCUAAUACCGGAUAAGCCGAUUGGUGAAAGAUUUAUUGCCCGAAGAGGAGCUCGCGUCUGAUUAGCUAGUUGGUGAGGUAAGAGCUCACCAAGGCAGCGAUCAGUAGCUGGUCUGAGAGGACGAUCAGCCACACUGGGACUGAGACACGGCCCAGACUCCUACGGGAGGCAGCAGUGGGGAAUUUUCCGCAAUGGGCGAAAGCCUGACGGAGCAAGACCGCGUGAGGGAGGAAGGCUCUUGGGUUGUAAACCUCUUUUCUCAGGGAAGAAGCUCUGACGGUACCUGAGGAAUCAGCCUCGGCUAACUCCGUGCCAGCAGCCGCGGUAAUACGGAGGAGGCAAGCGUUAUCCGGAAUUAUUGGGCGUAAAGCGUCCGCAGGUGGCGAUUCAAGGCUGCUGUCAAAGCACGGGGCUUAACUCCGUAAAGGCAGUGGAAACUGAAUAGCUAGAGUGCCGUAGGGGUAGAGGGAAUUCCCGGUGUAGCGGUGAAAUGCGUAGAGAUCGGGAAGAACAUCGGUGGCGAAAGCGCUCUACUGGACGGCAACUGACACUCAGGGACGAAAGCUAGGGGAGCGAAUGGGAUUAGAUACCCC
rnacentral:rRNA from 1 species